GUGAGGAAUAUUGGUCAAUGGGCGAGAGCCUGAACCAGCCAAGUCGCGUGAAGGAAGAAGGAUCUAUGGUUCGUAAACUUCUUUUGCAGGGGAAUAAAGUGCGGGACGUGUCCUGUUUUGUAUGUACCCUGAGAAUAAGGAUCGGCUAACUCCGUGCCAGCAGCCGCGGUAAUACGGAGGAUCCGAGCGUUAUCCGGAUUUAUUGGGUUUAAAGGGUGCGUAGGUGGUUUGAUAAGUCAGCGGUGAAAGUUUGCAGCUUAACUGUAAAAAUGCCGUUGAAACUGUCGGACUUGAGUGUAAAUGAGGUAGGCGGAAUGCGUGGUGUAGCGGUGAAAUGCAUAGAUAUCACGCAGAACUCCGAUUGCGAAGGCAGCUUACUAAGCUACAACUGACACUGAAGCACGAAAGCGUGGGGAUCAAACAGGAUUAGAUACCCCAGUAGUCC
rnacentral:rRNA from 1 species